ACCUUAGAGACCAACUAAGUUUGUUCUGGGUAUAAGCUUUCGUGUGCAUGCACACUUCUUCAUGAAAGCUUAUACCCAGAACAAACUUACCUGGUCUCUAAGGU